GGCUGAAAGGAAGAGAUUUGGCUGCUGCAUUUGUUAGUAAUGCAUCAGCGUGCCUCAAAAUUGAUGUGGCUGUAGCCAGGAACAGAACCACAGCCCGGUGCCAGAGGUGGCACAUUCAUAAUGAGACCAAAUGAAGGGGCUCAUUAGUUUCACAAAUGGUGAAGAGCUGCCUGUUCCCUCUCUUAUUAUCUCUCCUCCAUCUCCAUUAUGAGGGUGCGAGUGUGAAGGGGUGGGGGGGAAAAGUGAGUGCUACCCGUUCAGGCAGUGAGCUGAUCUGCAUUGCCCUUCUGGGAAAUUAAUGAACAUCCUGGUGACUCCAGACUCCUCCCUCCCCUCACCUCAGUUGCAAAUUAGAAAUAGGGAAACCUAAGGGAGGAAAAUAUUACAGAUGAAGCCCUUCUGUUUGUCUGCAAUCACAAAGGAAAAAAAAAAGAGAGAGAGAAUGAAAAUACAAAAACAAGAGCUCUGCAGGAAAACAGAAAUAAAAGGCAUGAUGGAGUUUCUGCUGUUUAAUUUAGAUGUCUGAUGAUCUGUGGAUCUGAGACAGGUCAUAACAUGCAACAAAGCCACCCUGUGUGUGAUUUACCAAAGCAGAAAUGAGUUUUGACCUAGAGGGACUGGAAGGCUGUGCGAAUGACCCUUGGAUAUAUCAGAAUGGCACUCAAUAAGUAAUUGCAAACUUUUUUUUUUUUUUUUUCUUUUACAGUUUUUGUUCAGAGCCAAGCCAGGCAAAUACUCCAUACUAAUCCCAACACAGAGCAAAUAGUAAAAGCAGUCUUCGCUGGUAGCGCUGGGAGAAAACAUUCAAUUAAGUUGCUGCAGUGGCUUAGUGACAGCAGCCUUUCACCUCUGCAAACCUAGCUGCUAGUUAUCUGUCUUGGGUCACCAAGGAAAAUGAGUCAAUGCUCUCAGGCUAAGCCCUAGGGCACAUUUUGCUCAGAAUCACCAGACCACAGUAUAAUUUGGAGCUUUUGUCCAUGCGUACUUAGCAAAGGUCUAGGCCUGGAAGAAAGCUGAAAUUCAAGAUUAGGGUGAGCUAAGAAUGAUGCAUUUUCCCAGAGAAUUAAAAUACUGACAUUCCCAGUGCUUUAAUUGACAUUAGGUUCACUGACUCAUUGAAACCAAAAUAAAACUGUGGGCAAAACAACGACAUGGGCACUGUGUAACAUUCCUAGGUGCUGGGAACAAAGGGGAGCGUUUGUCAAUGGAAGGAAAAGCCUUAUCACGUGCUCAGGGAUCUGAGGCAGCCAGGGAAGUCUGAAUGCUCUCAUUGCCAUGGAGCUGCAGCUCACAGUGCCUGAGCUGGUUUCAGGUGGGGAAGCCCCACACAACUGCGCUGUUUUGGUUCAGAGAAGCAUAUGUAUGACUGAUCUCCAAAAUCACCAGAGCCCUGGAAAGAGAUUUUCCUUUUAAAGAGAGCUUCUUGAGAGCCAUCAAGGACUUCCCAACUUUAAAGUCGCAUUUGGGCCAAACAGAAUUACCAAGUACCGGAAAAAGGAAACCCACAAAGCAGGAGUCCAGAGCUGCCAGAUAAGCAAAACAGGGCCUGGCUGGGUUCCUGGGGGAUGUAUUUCCUCCACGCUCAGUGUUCACCCAGCAGCUCUCUACACCUUCAUGGUUUGUAAAUACACAAUCCUUGUGGGUCCCUGCAAAAGCCUCCCUCUUUUUGCCACCUCUGAGACCUUGCUUUCUGCCUGCCACAGAUCAGCCCUUUCCAGGCUCUCCCACUUGUGCUGCAGCUGGCCCCAGCACCACACACCUGCCUGCAACUUCGUUAGAUGUGAUCUAUAAAAGGUGGGAAGGAAACACUCAGUCCCCUUUUCUUGCCCAGGUUUGCACCCAGUUCAAGUGAUAGCCACCACAUGUGUACAAACCAGGAGCCUCUCCUCCCAUAUGUGCAACCUCUCAAGUGAUGUCCUGGUGCCAACUCGUGCUAGAUGGAUACAUGCAGUGAAAUCUACAAAAUGUGAAUUUUCAUGCAAGUAAAAGUCACUGACCUGUUCAGUUAGCCGGAAAUUAAAUGCUACCCCUGGCCCCAGAUAGCUGGUGUUGGUCACAUUUAGCAGGAUGGCUCUGCCAUUCACAGCUGUUCUGCAGAUUGCUGGUGGCAGAUAGAUUAGGUCUUCACAGGAAGGGCUUAAUAGAUAUACGACAGGCGUAUACAGGUUUAGACAUCUGUGCAAGAAAGAAAGGCCACAGGAUAAGUAAUCUCACCCUGUGAAAGAUGGAAAGCUCUACAGAGACUUGUAACAGAAACAGCCCAGACAAGUAUAAUUUAACAGGGGAAACACAGAGAUAGGACAAUGUAGGGGGACUGCACCAGAGAUGAGGUAGGAGCAUGGCUUGUUUCUGCUUGCUGAUCUCACUCUGGCUGGCUGCAAAACUCCAUCAGCUUGUCCUCUGCAUGGACGGGCAUUGAUUUGCUCUGCCUUCCCUAGCCUCAACUGAAAAAGUUAUUAGUCUCUACUUUAAACGGCACCCGAUUUCUCCCCUCUUUCAUAUCCCACUGAGGAAAAUGUCUCCAGGUAUUUUUGUAUUUUAUGCUCCCAUUCAUACUCUUAAAAUACAGUCAAUCCUACUGGCUUAUAACUACCCCUGGUGUAAAUAAAAACUGAUUUGAAGACAGCUGCCCCAUCCACCCUGAUAAAACAAAUCACCACCACUACCAAGAGCAACAGCAAUGACCGCCAUCAUCAAAACUGUCAAUCACACAUGGUAAGAAGCAGAAGAGGAAUAUUCAGUACAGAAAUAAGUGAAGCAGUUGUGAUUUAUCAGGGUAGAUGUAAUCAGAAUAUUUGCAUAAGAGCUAAUGAUUUUCAGCAUUAGCCCUUUUAUUUGAGCAGCAUGUAGUCACCUAUAAUAAAUAUUUGUACUACACAGAGAUGAAGAAUUUUAAAGGACAAUUUAAGUUUACGUUUUCUAGUUCUUUUGGAUUCAAGUCUUGAGCUUUUGCAUUUUCUUUAUUCGCACUAGUGCUAGAGGACUGUAAAAGUGCAGAUAUCAUAAGUCCUAGCCUAGAUUAAAUAUUACAUUUCAUGUCUGUAAACCAUCCUAAAAGAUAAACUCCUAUAUCUUACUUAUUUGAAAUAUCUUCUAACAUUGUGUUCUUGCAAAUCCUCAUAUUUGAAGUGUCUAUGAGUGCUUCAGAAGAUGAAGCUCCCAAUAUAGCCAACACAAAGACAGAAAUGCUUCUUCUGAGAGCAAUUCAGGACUCUGCAGUUAAGAUCUAUAGUUGAUAAGACAUGGUCCUGAAGUUUAGCUGUCCAAAGGUAGACUAUCCUUCACCUAUGUGUCAAAUAAAGAAAAAAAAAAACAACCUAAUUUUGGCAUUGUAAAAUUCCAGUGAAAUGAAUAGCAGGCCUGUGAAUAGUUUUAUCUACGUAGUCGUUUCUGUUACCAAGCGUGAUGAGUACUGCUAAAUGAAUAAUAGAAAUAUAACUGUGCUGUCUUCAUGUAAUAGAAAUAUAAAAGGGAUAUCACCUUCUUAAAACAAAGGCAGAAUAUUAAUGGAGUGAAUUAGGGAUGUAAUGCUGAACUUAUAAACAUGUGGGUACUGAGAUGACAAUACAUUAUUAUUGCAGCAUAAUUCUAUGUUCUACGUAUACUGUUAAUGCCCCAACUCAGACAGUGUCCAAGGCCAGGCUGGAUGGGGCUUUCUUUGGGCAAUGGAAUGUGCCCCCGCCCAUGGCAGUGGGGUAGGAACCCAAUGUCUUUAAAGUCCCUUCCAGUUGAAAUCAUUCUAUGAGAUAGAACUUGCGGUUCUGUGUGAAGUAUGGAAUUGAGAAUGUCAGCUCUGUAAACUGGAGUAGAAGUAGCUCCUGUGGAAAUUUCUUUCUCUGAUAUCUUUAGUGGCUUGCAACUGUCUUCUGGGUUGGUUUGUUAUAUCAUCUAUUACCUUAGUGUAAACUUCUUCUGUUGUUGUUGUUUGUUAGUUAGCUUUCCACUUACUUCUGCUUGAUCCAGAGCAGGUACACUGCUUGUCCAUGGAGAAGCUGCAAGGUCAAUCGUACCUUUACAGUACUGGUAUGAAAUUUGUCUUCCCAGAGAAUUAACCCUGGAGAGGCUCCUCAGAUCUCUCUGAUAAACCAUUAGCAAUUAUACAUAAUGUAAAACAUGCUGCAAUACCAAUAAAUAUCCAUUCUUGGCCUGAAAUAUACACUGAAGGCUGGAUACAUCAAGACAUCAAUAUAAACCAAGGUUGGAUGUGUCUGGGCAGCCCAGUCUAGUGAAUGGCAGCCCAGCACACAGCAUUGUGGUUGAAACUAGAUGAUACUUGAAGUGCUUUUCAACCCAGGCCAUUCUGUGAUUUAAGUGAAGCACUGAAUCAAAAGCAAGUAUCCUCCAAAACUAUCUAAUCCGAAUAAACUCAGUGUACUUUACAAGGUGUUUUUCCUCCAAACCACAAGUAGCAACAAGGGAUGCAGAACUGUUCCACCCCAGGAAAACCAUCAUCUUGUCUUUAAGGUAAAAUCUGAAUUUGGUACCUAGCAUUGGCUGCAUGAUUCUCAGACUUGAGGUGCACUGGCUGAGUGGAAAGCUACUUCAGAAACUUGCGGCAAAAUCCACAGCUCAAAAUCAUAUGAAUUUAAAUUUAUCUUUACAUGAACAGAAAUGGCAAAGCAUUGUGCAUUCCUAAAGAACAAGUCCCAGUUCUCCAUCUCAGAGGAAGAAGAGGUAAAUAGAGCAGCUGCAGCUUCCUGACUCUUUUAAGAACAAAUUCUCCAAAAGUGGUUGGGUAGGUAAGUGGAUGUGCGGUUUUGAGGCUCCGCCUGUUUGCACAGGAAAAUGUUUUCAAGAAGAACUGACAGAUAGGAGCCUGUGCAAAGAGGUGUAGUAUUUCCAAUACCACUAUAAGUAGUAGAAAAGAGAAACUACAGCAAUUUCUGGCACAGAAUUUCUGGAGUUUAUAAUCAAAGUCCUUAUUCAUUUGGUGAGUUUAUUAGAGCACGCCAUUAGUCUGUGUUUAGGCUGGAAAGCUGAAUGAUAAUCAGUCCUUCAACAAAAUGCAUUUCUCAUGGCAUGAGGGGAAAGUGUCUCUAACCCGGCAAGUAUGCAGUGUAGGCUGAAGCAGUGAAGCAUUGGUUUUCUGGAAGCGCACAAGAGCUCCUGGCUGCACUCUGUGCCUCUAAAGAAUACAUUAGAGCUGCACUCCACAAAAGGGGGCACCUCCAGAGAUAGCAGCCCUGUUAAUUACACUGAUGUUUUCUAUUGCCUUCAUUCCAUGGGCGUAUGAGGAAGCAAUGACAGAUGGGCAAGCACAAAAGCUGUGAAAAGUCAGCGAUGCUUGGGGUUUCUGCAAGUGUGAUAAUGACCUCAAGAUGAUCUGACUUUUAUUGAGAGGCUUGUUUUGUAAUUGUCAUCACCAUAGUCUCACAUCAGAAAAGGCUUGCUUUUUUUAUUUAUGCAUCUUUGCUUCCUCUCUUGUAUUUUGUCAGUCACAUUUCCCAUAUUUGUAAGCAACAGAAAUUGCAAAACUAACAUUAAUUCCCUUUGUGUCUGACAACUGGUGAAAGAGCUGGUAAGAAGUAUUUGAGAUUCCUCUGAUGAUUUGGGGGGAAUCUCAUUUCAGGUUUCUCAUCUGUAAAAACAUUCAGUUUCAUAGAAAUGUUGUUUUGUGUUUUUUUUUUUAAUGAAUGGUGAUGUGCAUGUGGAGAGUGUUUAUUAUGAUUGUUCUUAGAAGCUUUAUAUUUUAAUGGCUUAGAAUACAAUCAGAAAAGCUACCCCUUUCUCAGGUAAAUUUAUUUGAUGCAUCUGAAUCUGUAUGGAAUACCUUUAAGAACACGAACUUACAUAAUGAACUUGUAUUUUGUCUGAAAAUUGAUUAAAAAAUAGUAGUAAUGCAAAA